GACGAACGCUGGCGGCGUGCUUAACACAUGCAAGUCGAACGGAAAGGCCCUGCUUUUGUGGGGUGCUCGAGUGGCGAACGGGUGAGUAACACGUGAGUAACCUGCCCUUGACUUUGGGAUAACUUCAGGAAACUGGGGCUAAUACCGGAUAGGAGCUCCUGCUGCAUGGUGGGGGUUGGAAAGUUUCGGCGGUUGGGGAUGGACUCGCGGCUUAUCAGCUUGUUGGUGGGGUAGUGGCUUACCAAGGCUUUGACGGGUAGCCGGCCUGAGAGGGUGACCGGCCACAUUGGGAAUGAGAUACGGCCCAGACUCCUACGGGAGGCAGCAGUGGGGAAGAUUGCACAAUGGGCGGAAGCCUGAUGCAGCAACGCCGCGUGCGGGAUGACGGCCUUCGGGUUGUAAACCGCUUGCGCCUGUGACGAAGCGUGAGUGACGGUAAUGGGUAAAGAAGCACCGGCUAACUACGUG
rnacentral:rRNA from 1 species